rnacentral:rRNA from 1 species
GUGCCCCGCGGUAAGACGUAGGGCGCGAGCGUUGUCCGGAUUUAUUGGGCGUAAAGAGCUCGUAGGCGGCUUGUCGCGUCGAAUGUGAAAUCUCAGGGCUCAACUCUGACAUUGCAUUCGAUACGGGCAGGCUAGAGUUCGGUAGGGGAGACUGGAAUUCCGUGGUGUAGCGGUGAAAUGCGCAGAUAUCAGGAGGAACACCGGUGGCGAAGGCGGGUCUCUGGGCCGAUACUGACGCUGGAGGAGCGAAAGCGUGGGGAGCAAACCGG